rnacentral:rRNA from 1 species
UACGGGGGGGAGCAAGCGUUGUUCGGAUUUACUGGGCGUAAAGGGCGCGUAGGCGGUCAGCACAAGUCAGUUGUGAAAUCUCCGGGCUUAACUCGGAAAGGUCAACUGAUACUGUGCGACUAGAGUGCAGAAGGGGCAACUGGAAUUCUCGGUGUAGCGGUGAAAAUGCGUAGAUAUCGAGAAGAACACCUGCGGCGAAGGCGGGUUGCUGGGCUGACACUGACGCUGAUGCGCGAAAGCCAGGGGAGCGAACGGG